rnacentral:rRNA from 1 species
AGCAGCCGCGGUAAUUCCAGCUCCAAUAGCGUAUAUUAAAGUUGUUGCAGUUAAAAAGCUCGUAGUUGAAUUUCGGAAUCAGUAUGUCGGUCGUGCCUCCGGUAUGUACUGGCGUCACCGGUUCCUCCCUUCUGACGAACCAUCAUGCUAUUAAUUUAGUGUGGUGGGAAAUCAGGACUGUUACUUUGAAAAAAUUAGAGUGUUUAAAGCAGGCUCACGCUUGAAUACAUUAGCAUGGAAUAAUGAAAUAGGACGUUGAUCCUAUUUUGUUGGUUUCUAGGGUUGACGUAAUGAUUAAUAGGGAUAGUUGGGGGCAUUAGUAUUCAAUUGUCAGAGGUGAAAUUCUUGGAUUUAUUGAAGACUAACUACUGCGAAAGCAUUUGCCAAGGAUGUUUUCUAUUAAUCAAGAACGAAAGUUAGGGAUCGAAGACGAUCAGAUACCGUCGUAGUCUUAACCAUAAACUAUGCCGACUAGGGAUCGGAUGAUGUUAAUUUUUUAAUUGACUCAUUCGGCGCCUUA